rnacentral:rRNA from 1 species
UACGGGGGGGGCAAGCGUUGUUCGGAAUUACUGGGCGUAAAGGGCUCGUAGGCGGCCAACUAAGUCCGACGUGAAAUCCCCAGGCUUAACCUGGGAACUGCAUCUGUGACUGCAUAGCUAGAGUACGGUAGAGGGGGAUGGAAUUCCGCGUGUAGCAGUGAAAUGCGUAGAUAUGCGGAGGAACACCGAUGGCGAAGGCAAUCCCCUGGACCUGUACUGACGCUCAUGCACGAAAGCGUGGGGAGCAAACAGG